GUAUGUCCAGAGAAACCAGCUAUUUACAUACACUUUGAGAUUGUUAAAAUCAAACUAAUGAUCUCACUGUAAUCCGCAUAGGAUUAUUUCUUUCUUUUUUAAAAAAGUCUCAGUAUAGUAUAUAUGGGGUUGUGGCCAGUGGUAUGGGUUGAGUUUAUUUACUAUGUUGUAUAUAAUCAUAAAAUGGCUUCACUAAAGUUACCUCCUCAGGGAACAUCCUUCAGUAUCGUGGCGCCCUCUACUGGGAAGCUCUGUGUAUCAAACUCAGAAAGAAAGUGUUUUGUUUUCGAAGAUCUACCAGAGUUUCAACUUCUGUAUUGUCUGCCUGAAUGAAUGUUCUCUGCUCUCUCCAAGUUUCCAUUUAUGUGUUAGCAAUAUCUCCAGCCUGCAACUGUCUUCUAAGGGACUUGGAUGAAUCUGGAAACCAUAAUUCUCAGCAAAGUGACACAAGAACAGAAAAUCAAACACCGUAUGUUCUUACUCAUAGGUGAGUGUUGAACAACAAGAACACGUG